rnacentral:misc_RNA from 1 species
AAGUCGUAACAAGGUUUCCGUAGGUGAACCUGCGGAAGGAUCAUUAACACGUAUCCACGUACCCGCCCUUGAGCACUUGUUUUAUCGCCCUGCAUCUUACAUGAACUGAGCCUAUGCGGCAAUGGAUGGGUCUGAAAAGUCUGCCUGUCAUAGGUCACUUGAGCGCAAGCUCUAACAGUUGUAGUAAGGUUCAGGUAAAAUUUUCUGGCAGCUGUUUUCGCCACUCCAUGGGGGCAGCUGUUGGGAGAAACCCAAAAACUAUAAUCACCCUUUUUUUGCUAGUCGACUUUUUUCUGUGAGUCUAUACGCUGUUAAAUCAGCGGUGGAAGCACACGUUUAAUCUAAUUGAACGUUAAAAGAACAACUCUUAGCAAUGGAUAUCUCGGUUCUC